ensembl:lncRNA novel transcript
UGUACCCUUGCUGUAGAUGCCACCCGCCCAGCAGUCCUCAUCAUCUUGGCCCAGGAUCACCUGAAACAGAUGAUCCUCCUUUUGAGCUACCAUCAGAAGGUCCACAGUACUAGCCCAGCGCUACAUCCCAAUGCCUACGCCAUUCAUCUCACCUCAUCUCAUCACGUAGACAUUUCAUCAUGUCACAUCAUCACAAGAAGGGAAGAAGAAGCAAAGCACACCAUUGAUGUGUGUGGGUUUGAUGUAGCAUCUUCUAAGAGGUCUACAAAGAGACAUUGCAAAGCCAGGCCUCUAAAUGAUUCCUCUGUGAAACAUUGGGCCAAACAUUCCGUAACCCCUUCCUGCUCUGGUGAUCAUGCUCCCAUGACCAGAUCAUUGAACCAUUCUAGAGACUUCAAAUCCAUUGAGAUGGGAUUAAUGCCUUUGCCUACUCAGGCAGAGGACAGACUGACCAUUGCAAGUGUUCAUCAGCAUUUUCCUGCUCUUAGACGGAAAGGCCAAGGCCACCCCAAGCAUGCUGAAAUUAAUGGGCCAUCGUCAGGAAGGAGUUCACAACUGUAUAUGGAGCCAGAACAAAUGGAGAGACCUCGUUCAGUCGAUGGAUGGUAGCAACAAGGAAGAAAGCAAAUGGAGAAAUGACAUCUCAUGACCCAGGUGAAGCCUACUGUUACUAUUUGGCUAAAAUAAGCCACAUAGCUUGUGUUGAAGAAUCUUUUUUAUUUCUUUAAGAAGAAUUUGGUGCCCAUGAAAGUGAUCAAAGUUUUUUGUUCUCCAGUGACAUCAAGCAGGAGAAAAGGAUAUACUCUCCAUUGUGUGGUCUGUGGACUGGCAGCAUCAUCAUGGGUGAGAAAUGAAAAACGUGGGGUCUUCCCUCACAUGGAUCAGUAUCUGCAGUUUCACAAGCUCCCGAGGGGUGAGUGCACAUGAAGGAUUGAGUAUUGCUCCAAAUAACCAGACCAACAAGUUGGAGUUUUGUGACAAGUUCUGACAAUGGCCUGAGUAAAAAUGAUAUCUGUACCUUCUGAGACAAAAUAUUUUGUGCUAAAGCAAAAUCCUCCAGAACUCCCUUCCUCUUCAGGGGCAACAGAUGCUCCCAGGUGAAUGCUGCUAUCAACCCCAUUUUACAACGUGGAAACUGAAGAAUUGAGAUAGUAACUGCACCAAGAUCUCACAACUGGGGUAAAAAUCCAUGCAGCAUGGCCCUAGAUGAACAUAAUCUGAAAGACUGGGCUCCACGCCUCAAGGUUGGGACAGAGAGCGAGUCUCCUUGCUCAGGUUUUAUCUCUUGUUAGUUAGAUGCCAAAUACA